rnacentral:rRNA from 1 species
UACGGAGGAUCCAAGCGUUAUCCGGAUUUAUUGGGUUUAAAGGGUCCGUAGGCGGGAGAGUCAGUCAGUGGUGAAAUCCUAUAGCUUAACUAUAGCACUGCCAUUGAUACUGCUUUUCUUGAAUUAAGUUGAAGUGGGCGGAAUGUGUCAUGUAGCGGUGAAAUGCAUAGAUAUGACACAGAACACCGAUUGCGAAGGCAGCUCACUAAGUUUAUAUUGACGCUGAUGGACGAAAGCGUGGGUAGCGAACAGG